AGAGUUUGAUCCUGGCUCAGAACGAACGCUGGCGGCAUGGAUUAGGCAUGCAAGUCGAACGGUGUCAGCAAUGACAUAGUGGCGCAAGGGUGAGGAACGCGUGAGUGAUCUGCCCUCAAGUUUGGAACAGCUCCUGGAAACGGGAAUUAAUACCGGAUGUGAUUAAGGUGCUGCAUGGUAUCUUAAUUAAAGCAGCAAUGCGCUUGAGGAGGGGCUCGCGUCCCAUUAGUUAGUUGGUGAGGUAAUGGCUCACCAAGACGAUGAUGGGUAGCUGGUCUGAGAGGACGACCAGCCACACUGGGACUGAGAACUGCCCAGACUCCUACGGGAGGCUGCAGUCGAGAAUUUUGGGCAAUGAGCGAAAGCUUGACCCAGCAAUGCCGCGUGCGGGAUGAAGGUCUUCGGAUUGUAAACCGCUGUCAUGAGGGACGAAGAUUGACGGUACCUCAAGAGGAAGCCACGGCUAACUACGUGCCAGCAGCCGCGGUAAUACGUAGGUGGCGAGCGUUGUUCGGAUUUAUUGGGCGUAAAGGGUCCGCAGGGGGUUGAUUAAGUUUGACGUGAAAUCCCGGAGCUUAACUCCGGAACUGCGUUGAAGACUGGUUGACUAGAGUGUUGGAGAGGUAAUUGGAAUUCCAGGUGUAGCGGUGGAAUGCGUAGAUAUCUGGAAGAACAUCGAGAGCGAAGGCAGAUUACUGGACAACAACUGACCCUCAGGGACGAAAGCAUGGGGAGCAAACAGGAUUAGAUACCCUGGUAGUCCAUGCCCUAAACGGUGUAAACUUGAUGUAGGCGGAAUUACUCCCGUCUGUGUCGAAGCUAACGCGAUAAGU
rnacentral:rRNA from 1 species